AAGGGCACCACAAGAACGCGUGGAGCAUGUGGCUUAAUUUCACUCAACGCGGGAAAUCUUACCGGGUCCGGACACACUGAGGAUUGACAGGCAAUAUUAAAUAUUAUAUAUUUAUAUAUUUUAUUUAUGUUAAAUAUGCUAGUCCUUUCAUGAUUAUGUGAUAGGUGGUGCAUGGCCGUUCUUAGUUCGUGGAGUGAUCUGUCUGCUUAAUUGCGUUUCACUAAGGGUCUAUACUUACGUAUGUGGCGAUACAUUGACCCCUUACUUUAUUGUAAGAGCGUGUCUUUGUUAUUUAGCUCAUACAUUUAGACUCUGAAAGCAACGAACGUGACCGCAACCUCUUGUUGCCUUUGUACCAAAUUUUUUUUUUUUACUUCGGUAAUUAAAUUAAAAUCAAAAAGGCUUAUUAAACUAGAGGGACCGCUGUUACUUUCUUAAACCAGAGGAAGGUUGCGGCAAUAACAGGUCCGUGAUGCCCUUAGAUGUUCCGGGCUGCACACGUGCUACAAUGAUUAUUGCAGUGAGCAUCUCAUUUUAACACACCGCUUGCGCGAGUCCAUUUAAUUACAUAUUUCUAUAUGUUUUUUAAAUGUGUAUCUCUGCGCGCGGUAAAGCCUGCUUCGAAAGUAAGUGGGUAAUCAAUUAGAAGUAAUGAUUUCCUUUUUUUUCUGCACAAAUAUAUACGGCAGUUUUACCCGAGAUUUACUUCGGUAUUUCUUUUGUGUGUAUUACUGUUCUUUCCGUAUGUGCGAUUGUCAAUUCAUGGUGGGGACAGACCAUUGUUAAUUGUUGGUCUCGGUCUUAACUAGGAAUGCCUUGUACGGGUCUUUGGUUCAACAGACCACCCGGAAUACGUCCCUGCCCUUUGUACACACCGCCCGUCGCUCUUACCGAUGGACUUCUCUGUGAGUUUGAGGGACUGGAAUUUAUUUUUUUAUUAUUCGUAAUAAAAAAAUUUCAACCUAUGGAAACUUAAACGAACAGUGUGGUCUAAAGGAAAGAGAAGUCGUAACAAGGCAUCGGUAGGUGAACCU
rnacentral:rRNA from 1 species